rnacentral:other from 1 species
UUUUUCCUGCUUAGCUCGUGAUACACAACCAUAUCGGAACCUACAACUUUUAAAUGGAAUCCUAUAUCGCUCUGUAGGUAUGCAGGCCUCCCGCGCGGCUCGACCGCAGCGGACGUUGGAAGCACAAAGCAGAGCCGCGGAUACCGCCUUGCUAUGCAGGGUUUUCUUUUGGGGUGUACACGGCUCGGCGGGAUUUUC